AUUGAACGCUGGCGGCAGGCCUAACACAUGCAAGUCGAACGAGUGGCGGACGGGUGAGUAAUGUCUGGGAAACUGCCUGAUGUAGGGGGAUAACUACUGGAAACGGUAGCUAAUACCGCAUACCAUCAGAUGUGCCCAGAUGGGAUUAGUUUGUUGGUGGGGUAACGGCUAACCAAGGCGACGAUCCCUAGCUGGUCUGAGAGGAUGAUCAGACACACUGGAACUGAGACACGGUCCAGACUCCUACGGGAGGCAGCGGUGGGGAAUAUUGCACAAUGGGCGCAAGCCUGAUGCAGCCAUGCCGCGUGUAUGAAGAAGGCCGUCGGGUUGUAAAGUACUUGCAGCGGGGAGGCGUUACCCACAGAAGAAGCACCGGCUAACUCCGUGACAGCAGCCGCGGUAAUAC
rnacentral:rRNA from 1 species